rnacentral:rRNA from 1 species
AUUGAACGCUGGCGGCAGGCCUAACACAUGCAAGUCGAGCGGAUGAAGGGAGCUUGCUCCUGGAUUCAGCGGCGGACGGGUGAGUAAUGCCUAGGAAUCUGCCUGGUAGUGGGGGAUAACGUCCGGAAACGGGCGCUAAUACCGCAUACGCCCUGAGGGAGAAAGUGGGGGAUCUUCGGACCUCACGCUAUCAGAUGAGCCUAGGUCGGAUUAGCUAGUUGGUGGGGUAAAGGCCUACCAAGGCGACGAUCCGUAACUGGUCUGAGAGGAUGAUCAGUCACACUGGAACUGAGACACGGUCCAGACUCCUACGGGAGGCAGCAGUGGGGAAUAUUGGACAGUGGGCGAAAGCCUGAUCCAGCCAUGCCGCGUGUGUGAAGAAGGUCUUCGGAUUGUAAAGCACUUUAAGUUGGGAGGAAGGGCAGUAAGUUAAUACCUUGCUGUUUUGACGUUACCAACAGAAUAAGCACCGGCUAACUUCGUG